rnacentral:lncRNA from 1 species
CUGAGCACAGCACAGUACAAGAUUGGUAAUCGGAUUAUCCUAGCAAGAGUCAUGUUAUUUUUUUCUAUUAAAACAGGUCUUGCUAUCUUUAAGCCAGACUUGAUGACCUGUCUGGGGCAAAGAAAGCCCUGGAGUGUGAAGAGACAGAAGACAGUAGCCAAACACCCAGAUCCUAUAAUUUUUUGCUUCCCUGGUUGACUGUGGCAUUGCAGUUCCUCUACUAUUGCAACAAGCAUUCAUCUUUCAUCUAGUACAUGCAAGCUAUAAUUCUCAUUACUCCAGCAUUUUCAUAUUAAGGGAGACAGACUCUUAUUGAUUAGACCAUCUCCUAUAAUUUCAGAACUUUAAACAGACCCACUGUUCUAGAUCUCUCCUGAGGGUAAUACUGGGAGUUGAUUGUGCUUUACUUAGCCCAGUUGCUGUUGAGGGAAAGAAAGGUUGUGCUGGAAAGUCUUUAAGCUAGACCUGGUUACCUUCUGCAGCAUAGAAAAUAUUACUGGAAUUUGAGAAGAGUGGAGAGAAU